rnacentral:rRNA from 1 species
ACGUAGGGGGCGAGCGUUAUCCGGAUUCAUUGGGCGUAAAGCGCGCGCAGGCGGCGGGUCAAGCGGGGCCUCUAAGGCCGGGGCUCAACCCCGGUUCGGGCCCCGAACUGGCCCGCUCGGGUGCGGUAGGGGCAGGUGGAAUUCCCGGUGUAGCGGUGGAAUGCGCAGAUAUCGGGAGGAACACCGAUGGCGAAGGCAGCCUGCUGGGCCGUCACCGACGCUGAGGCGCGAGAGCCGGGGGAGCGAACAG